AGCAACAAUGGCCGAGUGGUUAAGGCGCCAGCUUGCUAAGCUGGUGGAUGUUUUCUGCACGAGUUCGAAUCUCGUUUGUUGC
rnacentral:tRNA from 1 species